rnacentral:rRNA from 1 species
ACUCUCGUGUCAGAGUUUGAUCCUGGCUCAGGAUUAACGCUGGCGGCGUGCAUAACACAUUCAAGUCGAACGGUUGUAGCAAUACAACAGUGGCGGACGGGUGAGUAACGCGUGAGCAAUCUACCUUCCAGUGCGGAAUAACAACCGGAAACAGUUGCUAAUACCGCAUGAAACAGCAGCACCGCAUGGUGCAACUGUCAAAGGCUUGCUGCCGGAAGAUGAGCUUGCGUCUGAUUAGAUAGUUGGUGAGGUAGAGGCUCACCAAGUCGACGAUCAGUAGCCGGACUGAGAGGUUGAACGGCCACAUUGGAACUGAGAUACGGUCCAG